GACAGAGGUGCCGAGCGUUAGGCGGAAUCACUGGGCUUAAAGCGUGUGUAGGCGGAUCCGUAAGUACCUUGUGAAAUCCCACGGCUCAACCGUGGAACUGCUUGGUAUACUGCGGGUCUGAGCUAUCUAGGGGCAACCGGAACAAACGGUGGAGCGGUGAAAUGCGUAGAGAUCGGGAGGAACACCAGCGGCGAAGGCGGCUUACUGGACAGUUACUGACACUCAACUACGAAAGCGUGGGGAGCAAACAGG
rnacentral:rRNA from 1 species